CGCAUUAGGGCACGAGAGAAGCAGAGAGAGCGCCGCCUCCCCCUUUCUUUGCUCUGUGCUGCCUCGCCCCUUUCUCUGCUCUGCGCCGCAAAGCUGGAUCGACGGCGACGAGCGACGCCGCGUCUCCUAACCACACCGACAGCAACGGGCUCGACGGCGACGGGCGACGCCACGUUUCCUCACCACGCCGGACGCAGACGGACGCGCCUCCCCUGGUUUCUCGCCGAACGUGACGAGCAGGAGCAGAGGCCUAUCGUCGCAACAAUAGACAAGGAAAAGGGGAAGGCGAAUGGGAAGGAGAAGGAGAAAGAGAGGACCUUAGACUCCAUUAUGAAGAGUAAGUUGCCGGUCUCGGGGACCUCCGCCUCGACGUCCCCCUGACCCCACCGGCGCUGGCGUGCGUGCCGGAAUCGCCGCUGCCUCUGGCUCCGCAAACGACUAUGAGAGGGAGGCUACAUCUUCCCAGGCAAUGGAGCAUGAUAAGCAAGUGGAGGAGGAUCAUGAAGAUGUGGAAGAGGAUGAGGAGGAGGACGAGGAAGAGCAAGAUACUUUGUUUGAGAUGCCGUCUGGGGUUGGUGACAAAUCAGAUUUAGAUGAAUUUCCGGAUAGUGAAAAUUUCUUUGUUUCGCUGUCAAUAUUUGAUGUUUUGCUGUGUAAAGUUCAAAGGAUGUGCUGUCCAAAAUUCAAUAGAAAUGCUGCCCAAUUCUUUCUCUCAUAUCUCUUCCGUUGUUGCAAUUUUUAUAGAAGAAUUCAUAGAAGAAAGUUUAUUUUUCA